UCAUUUUGUUACAUAGUAUGACUAUCUGACCUGCUUUUCUGUUUUAUUACAGCAAAAUGUAUCUAUGGAGGAAAAGUCCUUGCAGAAGGCCAGCGGAUUUUAAGCAAGAGUUGUCAGGAAUGCAGAGGUGGAGUUUUAGUAAAAAUUACGGAAGCAUGCCCUCUUUUGAACUGCUCAGAAAAGGAUCACAUUCUCCCGGAGAAUCAGUGCUGCAGUGUCUGCAGAGGUCAUAACUUUUGUGCUGAAGGACCUAAAUGUGGUGAAAACUCAGAGUGCAAAAACUGGAAUACCAAAGCUACUUGUGAGUGCAAGAAUGGUUACAUUUCUGUCCAGGGAGACUCUGCCUACUGUGAAGGUAAGUGAGCUAUUUAAUAAAAUCAACUUGUGAGAAAUGUAUUCCUGGUAG
rnacentral:lncRNA from 1 species